GUGGCUGCCGGAUGGGUGCUCUCUACUAGUGCUGUGCAGAGGCUUUCGCUGAGGCUGCUGUGAGCCUGUAGGGUUUCCCCGUAGGCUACGGAGCUGG
rfam:Equus caballus chromosome 19, whole genome shotgun sequence.